rnacentral:rRNA from 1 species
UGGGGAAUCUUGCGCAAUGGGCGAAAGCCUGACGCAGCAACGCCGCGUGAGGGACGAAGGCCUUCUGGGUUGUAAACCUCUUUCAGCAGGGACGAUGAUGACGGUACCUGCAGAAGAAGCCCCGGCCAACUACGUGCCAGCAGCCGCGGUAAUACGUAGGGGGCGAGCGUUGUCCGGAUUCAUUGGGCGUAAAGAGCUCGUAGGCGGCUUGGCAAGUCGGGUGUGAAACCUCCAGGCUCAACCUGGAGCCGCCACUCGAUACUGCCAUGGCUAGAGUCCGGUAGGGGACCACGGAAUUCCUGGUGUAGCGGUGAAAUGCGCAGAUAUCAGGAGGAACACCAGUGGCGAAGGCGGUGGUCUGGGCCGGAACUGACGCUGAGGAGCGAAAGCGUGGGGAGCGAACAGGAUUAGAUACCCUGGUAGUCCACGCCGUAAACGUUGGGCACUAGGUGUGGGGACCUAUCGACGGUUUCCGUGCCGCAGCUAACGCAUUAAGCAUCCCGCCUGGGGAGUACGGUCGCAAGA